GCAUAUAUUGUGGUGGUAUUGGUGGCCGUGGGGUUGGUUUUGGUUGAUGUGGUGGUAGCUCCAUCGCUACAUAAAAGGGUAGAAAUUAUAUAAUAAAAAUAUAGCCUUGCUUUUGAAGAAUAGAUUCAGGAUGAAACAUAUUGGUUAGUGUUUAGUUCACAUAUCAAAGGACAAACCAUACCAGACAGACAAUAGAAUGAGUGGGGAUUCUAUGUAAAUAUGACACGUGGGCCAAUAAGCCUUUUUCUAGGGGGUUGUAACACACUAAUACUUGUCCAAAACCCACUAACAGAAAAUCUCAAUUAUCAAUCAAUGUAGCUGAUUAUCAAGAUAUCUUCAUGUGCUAAUUCACCUCCUUUCUUUUUCGUUGUAGUUUUGGAUUGGCCGACAAUGAAUGCUUCAGAUUACUACCGACCUUCACCUUUGAUUAAGGGGCCUUGUGGCCCAUAUAUGAUUAGAUUGUUCCAUUUUGUUGGUUCUGGAUUUUUUUUCUUCUUCUUCCUAAAGGGCUUAUUAUCUGAUAAGGCAAGAUUUUGUGAUUUUGGUUUCUUCGAUAUUGUUCUUUUUCUUCUAGUUGUAUUUUUUCGUUCUGAUGUGUUGUUCCAUUUUUUUCAGGUAUAUAAUGAGUUUUUUUUUGUUUUAUUCACAUUUAUAUAUUAUGCCCCUUCAUCGUGAAUGGUAAAUUUUUUUAUUUCACUUCAGGUCUGGGUUUACUUUUAUUCAAUUUGUGAAAAAAGGACACUGUUAAUGCUUAAGGGUCUGGCGAUAGUGAGGUGAAUGAAUGUUUUCCGUAAACAUGUGUAUUUUCUUUGUAGCUUAGAAGUUUUUUUUUUUUGCGUUAAGUGCUUAACUCAUGUCCUUUGUUUUCGUAUUUUUGGUUUUACGGUGAAGUUCUUUUGUUAUUUUUUUGUGAUUUUUAGGGUUUCAAGUUGCUAACUUUUUGUGUUUUUGGUUGUUAACUUUUUGUGUUUUUGGUUUGGUUUUCUGAAGUUCAGUUGGAGAAUGUGGAGUUGUAGUUGAAUAUUUUGAAGAAGAGGUUAGAGAAUGUUGGGAUGAAAAAUGGGGGCAGUACAAUCACUUGCUUUCGAUUCCGUCUAACUUAUUAUAUACUAUCUAUUAUUGAAACUGCUAUGUAGGAAAUGAAUUCUUUAAGCAGCAGAAGUAUCCCGAAGCUGUGAAGCACAGAGAGUUUAUAGAAAGAAAUCCGAAAGAUCCUAGGAUACUAGAUCUAUUUGAAUAUAAUGGUUAAUACUUAUAUUUAAUGGAAAAUGCUGGUCUUUAUCUGUCUAAUGUCUUCAAUGCUUUCAGGCUCUAUAGAAACAGAGCAGCAUGAUAUACUAAGUUGGAAGCAGUGUAUUGGAAGUCACACCUCUAUUAGAUAAGGCCAAAAUAUAAUAUAUAAACGAGGUAUAAACCUCAUUUUACAAGCCGGUUUUGUGAGGUGAAAUUAAUCUACUUUCUAAUAUGUUCUGAAAACCAUGGUUAGAGAAUCUAUCUUAACGAGUUCUAUGUAGACAUUCUAUUUUUCUAUUCCAUCCGUUAUCGGAUCAUCCUCAAGAGGUUGGACAACCUGAUGGAAUUAAAGUAGCAUUUGCAGAAUUUUUUUCUUUUUGGAUUUUGUUUCUUUGUUUAUUUCAUUUUGUGUUACUUGCUGUUUUGAUCUUUCUGUGUUGAUUCUAUUCCUGGGUGAUAUGUUGUGUGGUGUUUUUAUCAUUUAUUUACUUAUAUUGUAGCAAUUAUAUUCUAAAUAUAGCUUUUGCUUAUUUCAAUCUUUAUAAACCUAUAUUUUAGGUAUUGGAAAUUGGGUGGCUAAUCUGUAUUUUUUUGUUUCAAUUCAUUUUGUUGAUUAUAUUCCUGGUAUUGGUUUUUUUUGUUUGUUUUGGUGUCCUUCAUUGGCAUUCCGGUGUGCUGGUGUUCAAUUUGUUGCAAGGCGUUAUUUGGAAAGAGAAUGGCAGAGUCUGUAAAACACAUUUGUGUAAUAGCUAGGUCCAUGAGGAUUAGUCUAUUGUGCAUCUUAGUCGGAACUGGGACUGUUUCUUCUGUCACUCGUUUUUAUCUCUAUGUAAGUCUGACAAGUUGUUAUA